rnacentral:rRNA from 1 species
AGUCGUAACAAGGUCUCCGUAGGUGAACCUGCGGAGGGAUCAUUACACAAAUAUGAAGGCGGGCUGGAACCUCUCGGGGUUACAGCCUUGCUGAAUUAUUCACCCUUGUCUUUUGCGUACUUCUUGUUUCCUUGGUGGGUUCGCCCACCACUAGGACAAACAUAAACCUUUUGUAAUCGCAAUCAGCGUCAGUAACAAAUUAAUAAUUACAACUUUCAACAACGGAUCUCUUGGUUCUGGCAUCGAUGAAGAACGCAGCGAAAUGCGAUAAGUAGUGUGAAUUGCAGAAUUCAGUGAAUCAUCGAAUCUUUGAACGCACAUUGCGCCCUUUGGUAUUCCAAGGGCAUGCCUGUUCGAGCGUCAUUUGUACCCUCAAGCUUUGCUUGGUGUUGGGCGUCUUGUCUCUAGCUUUGCUGGAGACUCGCCUUAAAGUAAUUGGCAGCCGGCCUACUGGUUUCGGAGCGCAGCACAAGUCGCACUCUCUAUCAGCAAAGGUCUAGCAUCCAUUAAGCCUUUUUUUCAACUUUUGACCUCGGAUCAGGUAGGGAUACCCGCUGAACUUAA